rnacentral:rRNA from 1 species
AUACGAAGGGGGCUAGCGUUGUUCGGAAUCACUGGGCGUAAAGCGCGCGUAGGUGGAUCAAUUAGUUGAGGGUGAAAUCCCGGGGCUCAACCUCGGAACUGCCUUCAAUACUGUUGAUCUUGAGACCGAGAGAGGUGAGUGGAAUUCCUAGUGUAGAGGUGAAAUUCGUAGAUAUUAGGAAGAACACCAGUGGCGAAGGCGGCUCACUGGCUCGGUACUGACGCUGAGGUGCGAAAGCGUGGGGAGCAAACAGGAUUAGAAACCCUUGUAGUCC